AUUGAACGCUGGCGGCAGGCCUAACACAUUCAAGUCUAACGAGUGGCGGACGGGUGAGUAAUGUCUGGGAAACUGCCUGAUAGAGGGGGAUGACUACUGGAAACGGUAGCUAAUACCGCAUACCCACAGAUGGUCCCAGAUGGGAUUAUGUUGUUGGUGGGGUAAAGGCUCACCAAGGCGACGAUCCCUAGCUGGUCUGAGAGGAUGACCAGCCACACUGGAACGGAGACACGGUCCAGACUCCUACGGGAGGCAGCAGUGGGGAAUAUUGCACAAUGGGCGCAAGCCUGAUGCAGCGAUGCCGCGUGUAUGAAGAAGGCCUUCGGGUUGUAAAGUACUUUCAGCGGGGAGGCGUUACCCGCAGAAGAAGCACCGGCUAACUCCGUGCCAGCAGCCGCGGUAAUAC
rnacentral:rRNA from 1 species